UACGAAGGGGGCUAGCGUUGCUCGGAAUGACUGGGCGUAAAGGGCGCGUAGGCGGCCUUCUAAGUCGAACGUGAAAUCCCCGGGCUCAACCCGGGAACUGCGUCCGAUACUGGAAGGCUUGAAUCCGGGAGAGGGAUGCGGAAUUCCAGGUGUAGCGGUGAAAUGCGUAGAUAUCUGGAGGAACACCGGUGGCGAAGGCGGCAUCCUGGACCGGUAUUGACGCUGAGGCGCGAAAGCCAGGGGAGCAAACGGG
rnacentral:rRNA from 1 species